AUUGAACGCUGGCGGCAUGCCUUACACAUGCAAGUCGAACGGCAGCACGGGAGCAAUCCUGGUGGCGAGUGGCGAACGGGUGAGUAAUAUAUCGGAACGUGCCCAGUCGUGGGGAUAACGUAGCGAAAGCUACGCUAAUACCGCAUACGAUCUAUGGAUGAAAGCGGGGAUCGCAAGACCUCGCGCGAUUGGAGCGGCCGAUAUCAGAUUAGGUAGUUGGUGGGGUAAAAGCCUACCAAGCCUUCGAUCUGUAGCUGGUCUGAGAGGACGACCAGCCACACUGGAACUGAGACACGGUCCAGACUCCUACGGGAGGCAGCAGUGGGGAAUUUUGGACAAUGGGCGCAAGCCUGAUCCAGCAAUGCCGCGUGCAGGAUGAAGGCC
rnacentral:rRNA from 1 species